rnacentral:rRNA from 1 species
UCGAGAAUCAUUCGCAAUGGGCGAAAGCCUGACGAUGCGACGCCGUGUGAGCGAUGAAGGCCUUAGGGUUGUAAAGCUCUUUCGCUUGGGAACAAGAGAAGCUGAUUAAUACUCAGCGGAUUUGAGGGUACCAGGUAAAGAAGCACCGGCUAACUCCGUGCCAGCAGCUGCGGUAAUACGGAGGGUGCAAGCAUUAAUCGGAUUUAUUGGGCGUAAAGGGCGCGUAGGCGGUAGAAUAAGUCAGAUGUGAAAUCCUGAGGCUCAACCUCAGAACAGCAUUUGAAACUGUUUUACUAGAGGAUAGAAGGAGAAAACGGAAUUCCACAAGUAGCGGUGAAAUGCGUAGAUAUGUGGAAGAACACCGGUGGCGAAGGCGGUUUUCUAUUUUAUUCCUGACGCUAAGGCGCGAAAGCAAGGGGAUCAAACAGGAUUAGAUACCCGGGUAGUCC